ensembl:lncRNA
ACAAAACAACAUGACACCUGUACCUUCGCGCGACUGACCCAAACGUGUCUUUGUCGAGGCAGCCAUGAACGUCACACUCCCCCAAUCCUGCACCGUCACCACCUACCUGAACCUCUGCUCCUCCUCCAAGGUUCUGCUCCUUGUGCCCGGCUUCACCCUCAACAUCUUCCUCCUGGUCUCCCUGCUGUCCAGCCUGCUCGCCCCGAGGGUAAAGAUCCGCAGCAACGUGGCCGUGUUCAUCCUGGGCAUCAGCAGCUGCAACCUGCUCAGCCUGUGCCUGUGGCCCUUGAUCAUCCACUGGAGGAUGCGGGGCCGCUGGCUGCUGGGGCCCCGGCUGUGCGAGGCCAUGGUGAGCGUCAAGCAGAUGAGCAGCCUGGCGUCCUUCCACUACGCCUCCUUCGUCACCUUCUCCGUCUACCUGACGGUGGUGUGCGGCUGCGGGCGGCUUGUGGACAGCCGGCUCUUCCUGGCCCUGGAGGUGCUGUUCCCCCUGCUGCCCGGCGGGCUGAAGGAGUUGGGUCAGUGGUUCCCGUGGAGCCGUGUGCACCACCUGGACCCCGUGGAGGACAGCUGCUUCUCCUUCCUCAACGACCCUGCCAUGAGGACCUUCGCGUUGGUCAAGACGGCGGCGCUGCUGCCGCUCAACCUGUACUUCUACGCACACGUGCUGCACACGGUGGUCCAGAGCGCCAAGGCGUCCAACCGCAGCCAGAGGGGCACCGUGACGCUGGCCAGGAUGUUCAGCCUCAUAUCCCUCAUCACCUUCAGCGCACACAUUCCCGGGGCUGCAUUUUCCCUCAUGGACAGGCCCUCUGUGUGUCAGGAGAUGGUGAGGGAUGUCCUACUGGAUCUCCCGUUGAUCUCAAGUCCUGUCAUCCUGUUCUGUAUGAACAAGGAGCUGAGGAACCAGGGGCUGCUGAUUCUGCGGUGCAAGGUCGGGAUGUAUGAGAGAGGAGACACAUCUGUCAAAUGGUCACAGAGUCUCAGGAGCCUCACAAAUGGAGAGUCUGUUGUAAAAACCCAAUGAAAAGCAAAGUGAGUUCACACCGUUUGCUUAUCCAUGUUAUUUAUACAGCAACAAAAUAAACACAAUUACCUUAUUUGUGUGUGUGUGUGUGUGUGUGUGUGUGUGUGUGUGUGUGUGUGUGUGUGUGUGUGUGUGUGUGUGUGUGUGUGUGUGUGUGUGUGUGUGUGUGUGUGUGUAUUUUACCUCUCUUUCAUAUUCCAUAAUACUGAGUCAUGAUAACUAUUAUAGAACAUCUUUGGAUUCUCAUAGUACCAUAUAUUUGUUUUAUGUGUGGAUCAUUAAUGGUUGUUUGGUGCCAUCUUGUGGCCAAAAUAAACAUUUAACCAAAAAUAAAAACGUUG